UGAUAAUGCUUUCUAAAAACAACUGUAGGCUACAUGGCAGAAGUGUCGUGUUUGUGAUAAAAAAAAAGUCGCCCUGCUGUCAGAAAAAGGUCGAUUAAGUGUCUGGCUUUUUGUUUGUGCUGUGGAGAGCUGAAAGGCAGUACUUUGGAAGUGAUGAAGAAAAUAGGACUUGCAACAUUGCCAUUCCAGCUGAGCUCAGCUGAGGCAGAAACCUCACCAAGAUGUACUGGCAGCAUGAGUGAGACUGAUUCAAAAGCAAAGAUGCUCCAUUUAAGCCUGGACUCAGCGUGUAACUUAACAUGUGUUGGUGAGUAUGAUUUCAGUCACUUUGCAUAGAAAAUCUACAGAGCUCAUAAAUUAUUUUCUCCCUCCAUACUGUGUUCUUAUUUAUAUAUCUCUUAAACAGCAUAUAUGUGAACUCUACAGUGAAUUAUCUCUACGGUGAAGUUCCCUCCUAGUUAGAAAAAUGUAUACAGCCCAAAUGGUGCAAAAUAAAACCCUUUUUAGUGAUAGAGUAGGUAUAGUCUUUACAAGUGUUUAUCAGUAAAAACAAGAAAGUACUAUGCAUACAGUUUUCAAAUCUUACUACAUGAAUGGCUGCAAUGAAAAUAUGAUUUUCCCUAUUUGUAGUUUCAUACAGUGUUUCGGCAGUGUUUCUGCCUGCUGCUCCUGUGAAGACGUACAAUGUGUAUGGCCAUUGAUAUGCCCUAACAGAGGUCACAAUUUGCAUGAGAAUUAACAGCUAGUAAAUUAAAUUGAUAUUCAGCGCACAUCUCAGUUGAAUCCGUCAGACCUUUGUUCCCCUGCCUGGCAGAGCCCAUGUUCAGCCCCUAGCUAGUCAGAAACAUCUGUGCAGUUAAUAAUUUGAUAAACAGCUUACACAAAUGCUAAAUUAUCUUCUCCGCCCCCUCCCCUUUUCUUCCUCCCCUUGUGAGAGACUUGGAACAGUUGGCUCACCUCUCUGUGGUGUUGGGUUUAUCUGUCUUUUGUGGCUGUUCUUCCACAGCUCUGGUUUUCAUGGCCCUCCCUUCACUCCUUUCACUAUCACUUAGAUACUGAAGCAGUGUUUGGGGUUAAUGCAAAUCCUCAGUUCUCAUCUAUGAAGAAAAAAAAGGUGUAGGAGUUGCCUAUUGUGUGUUGUCUCUUCUAAUGCUAAGGAUGAGUGAGAAGAUCUGAUUCACCAUGAUGCUGCACUUGUUGGGUAUUUGAAUAAACAUCAGGGCAGUCUCGAGUGCUGUCUGAGAGCACAAUGCAUCAGUGUGGUUUUGAACAAAGACUCCCAGGUCUGAAGACAGUGGCCUGUUGUUAGCAUACACGCGCCUUGUGAUGUUGUGGUCUGCAGAGUGGAUUCGUUCUGUCUUCUUUAAAGUCUUUUUUCCUUUGGGCAUCUGCUGUUAGUCUCAUCCAGACUCUUUCCAGUCAUUUUCACAUGCUUACUGCUCAUGUCAAAGAUCCUGUCGGAGAGCGAGAGAGACAGGAAGGAGAGGAUCAUCUCUCAGUUUGACAACAGUCUGUGAGCCUGGAGUAUGACUGACAGCUGAGGCAGUGUGGCACACACAAGUGAAUAAGGGCAGCGUGGGCGUUUGUCAGAAGAUUCUUGUGCACCGGGCUGUUUGGGUCAGGUGUCUGGCAGCCAGGGCUUGAUGUUUGCACCUGCACUGGGCCCUGCUUCACCUCACCUCUUUGUUUAUCAGCUCAUGUUUAAUGGUAGUGAACCAACUGUCAUGCAGCGAGUCACUUGCGCUGAAGCAAAUGUAUUACUGAUGUUGAACCAGGGGGUAGCUUGUGUCAUUAUGUAUACCCAGGCUUGGAAUACGUUACAGCAAUGUUACACACACAGAACUUGUGGGUCUGUUUUAACUGCUCCUUGCAGCAUAAUUGCAAAAACCCUGCAUAUGCCAUAAAACUGAAUGAAUGCUUGACAUAAUCAGCUAUUGCGAUAUGGUAUUGUAAUUUUUAAAGGUAUGUUACCAAGAUCUGUAAUAUUCUGUCUGAGGAGCCAGAAUAGACAUGCAGCCAGGACUAAACAGCUCAUUUUAUAAGCACCUCGUCCUACACCCAAAGAGCCAAUCCAGUCCUGGAUGGCCCAUUUGACCCCCUUCUCCAGGAGAGGCCCACAGGGCAUAUGUCGCAUCCACAUUAAGGCAUUAGGGAAUGCUUUAUUUGUUUGCGUGAGGGGCAUCCUCUCCUGCCUCUUCCGUGGGUCACACUCGGUUGACACUGCUACUGGAUGUCACUGCGCUGAUGUGGGUUUAGUCUUCCAGGUCAAAUUAUUCUUCAAUUUAAACUGAAAUUGGGAAUAGCAGAGGCAAGGAUCAGCUCUGGUCCAAGCCCUCCCCACUGUAUUAAGCCAUCACGUUGUUGUAACGCAAGCUCAUAUAAUGAACCCUGUCACCGCUACCAUUGUGCCAAUAUCCUCACAACACAGCGUGCAUAUUGAUUGCAGAUUGUGAGUGCAUGUAUGUAAUGUAUGUGUGCACGAUCGUGUAAGCUCACCUUUUUGGAGCAAGGAGCAAGGGAAUCAUGUUACUCUCCGACUGAUUAGAAAGCUCAUGCAUAGGAAAUCACGACAGAGACACUGCUCCCCAUCUGCCCGCAGUGCAGGUGAAAACAAUUUACACAUUGGCAGGCUAAUGGAUACAUUCAUAGGGAGCACAGACAGAGGGAUCGAGGGGGAGAGGAGGAGAGGGAGAGAAAAGCGGAGAGAGGAAAGGAGAGGGCUUGUAAUGGGCCCAGGCCGAUGCAGGCCACUGACCCUGCUCAUGCAGCCAAGCCAGAUAGCAGCGUAUCAGAUAACACAUAAUCACUGGGGUCAGGCACUAACGAAUGCGGUCAUGGCCCACCAGAGCAGGCUUUUGCCCGCGCUAAAGACACUUGUAAACAAUUCGGCUGGGUGAAACAUGGCAAUAAUAUGUUGAUUCAGCAGGUAAUGAGGUUCUCCCUGAAUCAAUACCCCUAGCUAACCCCUCUCCCAGGUGGGCCAGUGAAGAGCACCAAGCCAGGCUGGUGAGCGCACACCUCAGCCGAUGACCUUUCCAUGGCAGUAAGGACACGAGGCAGUCUGAAGAGGACUAUUCUCAUAUUGCACAAGGCGCUGAGUGUCAGAACUUUCAUUCGCAGCAAGCAAAUGAACAGGCAGGCGCUGCAUGCUAAUGAGUGGCAGGCUAUUUUCCACCUUUUUUAUCUGCACAUUAUGCUCUUGACUUUGGAGAAGGUGGGAAUUAGGUUGGACCUCAGUGUCAGGCUGCCUGAUGGCUCCGCUCAGGAAAAACUGGUAAUUGAAGCCGAUGGCUGCCGCGGAGGAGGUCUGAAUUUGGAAAUAAACAGUUUCAAGCACUGCACGUCAUUUCUAGAGAGAUGACAGGGGGAAUGGAAAUGAGCUGUCUGGAUCUAAUGUGCUUUCGCAGCAGGGAAAAAAAGGGGGCCAUCUUUCAGAUAACAAUUCCACUCAUUAGGACUUCAGUGCCACCGUAAUGACGAGAGACCAAGUUGCUAAAUUCAGAGAGGACAAUUAGGAAAUGCUGGCAACCAGACAAACCAAAUAAACAAGGACACAUGGCUCUGCAUUGUCCAUAUACUGUGGCUCAACACGGUGAGAUACAUCUAAUAGCUUUCAAGGGGAGUUUGAACAAGAAAAGAAAUAAACAGCCUCCUGCUUGGUAUUUCUUGUCACAGUAGCAACUUCUUUGUCAUUGCUUAUUUAUUUGCAUAAUGUGAAAUAGACCAAUCAAUUCCCUUCUCACUGGUAAAGUAAGACCUUCAUAUUUGUUUUCAUGCUCAUUAAAGGGAAAUGCCACUGUUCAUCUAGUGCCAUCAUCAUGUCAAAGUGUCUUUUUCUUGGUUUAUGGCAAAAGCCUAGACGUUUCUUACCAUGCAGUUUGUAGUCAGAUUUGAGUUUAAUGCAA